rnacentral:rRNA from 1 species
AGAGGGUGCGAGCGUUAAUCGGAAUUACUGGGCGUAAAGGGCGCGUAGGUUGACCGUCAAGUUGCAUUUUAAAGGCCCGUGCUUAACGUGGGUAAGGAUGCAAUACUGGCGGACUAGAGUACAGUAGAGGGAAGUGGAAUUUCAGGUGUAGCGGUGAAAUGCGUAGAUAUCUGAAGGAACAUCAGUGGCGAAGGCGACUUUCUGGACUGAUACUGACACUGAGGCGCGAAAGCGUGGGUAGCGAACAGGGAUUAGAUACCCUGGUAGUCCACGCCGUAAACGAUGAAAACUAGCCCGUAUGUCACAUGAGUGAUGUGUGGCGCAGCUAACGCGAUAAGUUUUCCGCCUGGGAGUACGGCCGCAAGGCUA